UACGUAGGGGGCAAGCGUUAUCCGGAUUUAUUGGGCGUAAAGAGCUCGUAGGCGGCCGUUCGCGUCGGAUGUGAAAGCUCAGGGCUCAACCCUGAGACGCCAUUCGAUACGGGACGGCUAGAGGUAGGUAGGGGAAAGUGGAAUUCCUGGUGUAGCGGUGAAAUGCGCAGAUAUCAGGAGGAACACCGGUGGCGAAGGCGGCUUUCUGGGCUUUACCUGACGCUGAGGAGCGAAAGCUGGGGGAGCGAACAGG
rnacentral:rRNA from 1 species